CAGCCGUAAACUAUGCUCGCUAGGUGUCAGGCAUGGCGCGACCGUGUCUGGUGCCGCAGGGAAGCCGUGAAGCGAGCCACCUGGGAAGUACGGCCGCAAGGCUGAAACUUAAAGGAAUUGGCGGGGGAGCACAACAACGGGUGGAGCCUGCGGUUUAAUUGGACUCAACGCCGGAAAUCUCACCGGAUAAGACAGCAGAAUGAUUGCCGGGCUGAAGACUCUGCAUGACUAGCUGAGAGGAGGUGCAUGGCGUAGACGUCU
rnacentral:rRNA from 1 species